CUGAGAGUGAGGUCCAGCAUCAGCCUCAGCUGUUCAGCCCCAGGAUCGCUGUACGCUACCUGCUCAGAUGACAGGAAAAAAACACCAGCUGAUAAAAUGCAAAAUAAUUUGAGGGAUGUGCCUCAGCUGUCUGAGAAACGUUGAAUGGAGCUCCAGCUGUGAUGAGACUCUUCAGUUUAACACAACAGCAAAUAAACACACCAUUCCUCUACCACAAGCUCAUCAGCUCCCACUGGAUGAUUGGGACUGAAAGACCUGCAGGCGGACAAAGUACU